GUAGUACUCCCUCCAUCCGAAAAUACUUGUCGCAAAGAUGCAUAAAAAUGGAUGUAUCUAGAACUAAAAUACGUCUAGAAACAUCCAUUCCUCCAACAAGUAUUUCCGGACGGAGGGAGUAAUAG
rfam:Triticum aestivum genome assembly, contig: Triticum_aestivum_CS42_TGACv1_scaffold_146503_2BS